GGCCUUUGGACUCAUGCUUUAUCACUGAUUUAUCAGAGUUCCAAAGUCUUUCAAAGUUGUCUUCUCCAUAAUGUGCUCAUCGCUGUAUAAAUUGUUCUCCUAAUUCUUAUCAUUUUGCACCGUUUCAGAGAGAUCUUCCCACUUUCCUCAUCUUCCAGAAUUCAAAUCUGGCCUCAGAUACUUCUUCGAUGUGCCAACCUGGGAAAAUGAUCUCUCUGCUGAAAACGAGGGAACAAAAAUGACUAACGGAGAGUUGAUAUCUGAGAUAAGAAAAACAGUAGGAAGCCCUCCUUGAUUGAAUUCAAGUCUCCUUAUCUGGAUGAAGUAUAGCUUCAAGUCCUUAGAGAACUGGAGAUGUGAUGGCUGAGCCUGGGGCACAUAUCCAAGAUGUGAUACAAAAUCUUCCAGGACUUCUCAGUACAGACAACCCCUAUCCCUCUCUGCAUGUCCAAGGCCAUCCUGUUUCCCCAGGCCAUCCUGCUUGCAGCAUCCAAUUGGCUGGCAGUGUCCUUUACUGCCUCUCCUAAGAGUCCCGAUUUGGAGGGACACCGGACUGACCGAAGACCCAGUGGCGUGAGUCAGAGCCUUGAAGCUGGUCAAUACAACUAGAAGAAAAAAACGAACCUAAGAAGCUGAGGUCAGGGACAGACAACGACUGCUGAGGGGAUCUCCACUUGGAGACAUUGCCCAUGUCAGGACCUUCAGAAAUGUUUAGAGGAGGUUCAUCUCACAGCCUGAAGUUUGGCCAAAAAGUUGAGGCAGGUGAGUUGGAGAGAGAGAGCUCCUCCCUCUUGGGCCUUCCACCUAACAGUGGCCAGUGAAAAGAGAUUUCACAAGACUGAAGGGUUUUUUGGGAUCCUGGUACAGACCCAAGAGAAGUUUCCACUGGCUUGUCUCUGGGAUUAGAAACUGGCCUCAGGAGAUUUAAAACCACCCAGAG
rnacentral:lncRNA from 1 species